rnacentral:rRNA from 1 species
GCUUAACACAUGCAAGUCGAGGGGCAGCAUGGUCUUUGCUUGCUAAGGCCGAUGGCGACCGGCGCACGGGUGAGUAACACGUAUCCAACCUGCCGUCUACUCUUGGACAGCCUUCUGAAAGGAAGAUUAAUACAAGAUGGCAUCAUGAGUCCGCAUGUUCACAUGAUUAAAGGUAUUCCGGUAGACGAUGGGGAUGCGUUCCAUUAGAUAGUAGGCGGGGUAACGGCCCACCUAGUCUUCGAUGGAUAGGGGUUCUGAGAGGAAGGUCCCCCACAUUGGAACUGAGACACGGUCCAAACUCCUACGGGAGGCAGCAGUGAGGAAUAUUGGUCAAUGGGCGAGAGCCUGAACCAGCCAAGUAGCGUGAAGGAUGACUGCCCUAUGGGUUGUAAACUUCUUUUAUAAAGGAAUAAAGUCGGGUAUGGAUACCCGUUUGCAUGUACUUUAUGAAUAAGGAUCGGCUAACUCCGUGCCAGCAGCCGCGGUAAUACGGAGGAUCCGAGCGUUAUCCGGAUUUAUUGGGUUUAAAGGGAGCGUAGAUGGAUGUUUAAGUCAGUUGUGAAAGUUUGCGGCUCAACCGUAAAAUUGCAGUUGAUACUGGAUAUCUUGAGUGCAGUUGAGGCAGGCGGAAUUCGUGGUGUAGCGGUGAAAUGCUUAGAUAUCACGAAGAACUCCGAUUGCGAAGGCAGCCUGCUAAGCUGCAACUGACAUUGAGGCUCGAAAGUGUGGGUAUCAAACAGGAUUAGAUACCCUGGUAGUCCACACGGUAAACGAUGAAUACUCGCUGUUUGCGAUAUACAGCAAGCGGCCAAGCGAAAGCGUUAAGUAUUCCACCUGGGGAGUACGCCGGCAACGGUGAAACUCAAAGGAAUUGACGGGGGCCCGCACAAGCGGAGGAACAUGUGGUUUAAUUCGAUGAUACGCGAGGAACCUUACCCGGGCUUAAAUUGCAGAUGAAUUACGGUGAAAGCCGUAAGCCGCAAGGCAUCUGUGAAGGUGCUGCAUGGUUGUCGUCAGCUCGUGCCGUGAGGUGUCGGCUUAAGUGCCAUAACGAGCGCAACCCUUGUUGUCAGUUACUAACAGGUUCCGCUGAGGACUCUGACAAGACUGCCAUCGUAAGAUGUGAGGAAGGUGGGGAUGACGUCAAAUCAGCACGGCCCUUACGUCCGGGGCUACACACGUGUUACAAUGGGGGGUACAGAGGGCCGCUACCACGCGAGUGGAUGCCAAUCCCCAAAACCUCUCUCAGUUCGGACUGGAGUCUGCAACCCGACUCCACGAAGCUGGAUUCGCUAGUAAUCGCGCAUCAGCCACGGCGCGGUGAAUACGUUCCCGGGCCUUGUACACACCGCCCGUCAAGCCAUGGGAGCCGGGGGUACCUGAAGUGCGUAACCGCGAGGAGCGCCCUAGGGUAAAACUGGUGACUGGGGCUAAG